GACGAACGCUGGCGGCGUGCUUAACACAUGCAAGUCGAACGGGAAGGCCCCUUUGGGGGUACUCGAGUGGCGAACGGGUGCGUAACACGUGAGUAACCUGCCCUUGACUUCGGGAUAACUUCAGGAAACUGGGGCUAAUACCGGAUAGGAAUCCUUGCUGCAUGGUGGGGGUUGGAAAGCUUCGGCGGUUUUGGAUGGACUCGCGGCUUAUCAGCUUGUUGGUGGGGUAGUGGCUUACCAAGGCUUUGACGGGUAGCCGGCCUGAGAGGGCGACCGGCCACAUUGGGACUGAGAUACGGCCCAGACUCCUACGGGAGGCAGCAGUGGGGAAUAUUGCACAAUGGGCGGAAGCCUGAUGCAGCAACGCCACGUGCGGGAUGACGGCCUUCGGGUUGUAAACCGCUUUCAGCAGGGGCGAAGCUUGUGGUGACGGUACCUGCAGAAGAAGCACCGGCUAACUACGUG
rnacentral:rRNA from 1 species